AGGGUUGGGCUGUUCGCCCAUUAAAGCGGUACGCGAGCUGGGUUCAGAACGUCGUGAGACAGUUCGGUCCCUAUCCGGCGCGGGCGUAGGAUAUCUGAGAGGAGCUGGCCUUAGUACGAGAGGACCGGGCUGGACGGACCACUGGUGUAUCUGUUGUCGACCAACGGCAUGGCAGAGUAGCCAAGUCCGGAAGGGAUAAACGCUGAAGGCAUCUAAGCGUGAAGCCCCCCCCAAGAUGAGAUAUCCCAUCCAUAAGGAAGUAAGACCCCUGAGAGACGAUCAGGUAGAUAGGGCAGAGGUGGAAGUGCAGCAAUGUAUGGAGCUGACUGUUACUAAUCGGUCGAGGGCUUGACCAA
rnacentral:ncRNA from 1 species